rnacentral:rRNA from 1 species
GUCCACGCCGUAAACGAUGGAUACUAGCUGUUGGGGGUAACUUCAGUGGCUAAGCGAAAGUGAUAAGUAUCCCACCUGGGGAGUACGUUCGCAAGAAUGAAACUCAAAGGAAUUGACGGGGCCCGCACAAGCGGUGGAGCAUGUGGUUUAAUUCGAUGAUACGCGAGGAACCUUACCAAGGCUUAAAUGUAGUUUGACCGAUUUGGAAACAGAUCUUUCGCAAGACAAAUUACAAGGUGCUGCAUGGUUGUCGU